GACGUAGGGCGCGAGCGUUGUCCGGAUUUAUUGGGCGUAAAGAGCUCGUAGGCGGCUUGUCGCGUCGGUCGUGAAAACCUGCAGCUCAACUGCAGGCUUGCGGUCGAUACGGGCAGGCUAGAGUUCGGUAGGGGAGACUGGAAUUCCUGGUGUAGCGGUGAAAUGCGCAGAUAUCAGGAGGAACACCGAUUGCGAAGGCAGCUCGCUGGAACGUUACUGACGCUGAGACGCGAAAGCGUGGGGAGCGAACAGG
rnacentral:rRNA from 1 species